AUGAGGAGAGACUACAGCACAGGGAAAGACAAGAUGAGGAGAGACUACAGCACAGGGAAAGACAAGAUGAGGAGAGACUACAGCACAGGGAAAGACAAGAUGAGGAGAGACUACAGCACAGGGGAAAGACAAGACGAGGAGAGACUACAGCACAGGGAAAGACAAGAUGAGGAGAGACUACAGCACAGGGAAAGUCAAGAUGAGGAGAGACUACAGCACAGGGAAAGACAAGAUGAGGAGAGACUACAGCACAGGGAAAGACAAGAUGAGGAGAGACUACAGCACAGGGAAAGACAAGAUGAGGAGAGACUACAGCACAGGAAAGACAAGAUGAGGAGAGACUACAGCACAGGGAAAGACAAGAUGAGGAGAGACUACAGCACAGGGAAAGACAAGAUGAGGAGAGACUACAGCACAGGGAAAGACAAGAUGAGGAGAGACUACAGCACAGGGAAAGACAAGAUGAGGAGAGACUUACAGCACAGGGAAAGACAAGAUGAGGAGAGACUACAGCACAGGGAAAGACAAGAUGAGGAGAGACUACAGCACAGGGAAAGACAAGAUGAGGAGAGACUACAGCACAGGGAAAGACAAGAUGAGGAGAGACUACAGCACAGGGAAAGACAAGAUGAGAAGAGACUACAGCACAGGGAAAGACAAGAUGAGGAGAGACUACAGCACAGGGAAAGACAAGAUGAGGAGAGACUACAGCACAGGGAAAGACAAGAUGAGGAGAGACUACAGCACAGGGAAAGACAAGAUGAGGAGAGACUACAGCACAGGGAAAGACAAGAUGAGGAGAGACUACAGCACAGGGAAAGACAAGAUGAGGAGAGACUACAGCACAGGGAAAGACAAGAUGAGGAGAGACUACAGCACAGGGAAAGACAAGAUGAGGAGAGACUACAGCACAGGGAAAGACAAGAUGAGGAGAGACUACAGCACAGGGAAAGACAAGAUGAGGAGAGACUACAGCACAGGGAAAGACAAGAUGAGGAGAGACUACAGCAAAGGAAAGACAAGAUGAGGAGAGACUACAGCACAGGGAAAGACAAGAUGAGGAGAGACUACAGCACAGGGAAAGACAAGAUGAGGAGAGACUACAGCACAGGGAAAGACAAGAUGAGUAUGCAGCCAAACAAGAAAGACUUGAACAUUCCAUUCGAUUACAAGAGAGGCCAUCCAGUCAAGCAAUCCUGCACCCUCAACAGAGUUUGA
ensembl:lncRNA